GGCGGGUGCUAAUACAUGCAAGUCGAGCGAAUGGAUUAAGAAGCUUGCUCUUAUGAAGUUAGCGGCGGACGGGUGAGUAACACGUGGGUAACCUGCCCAUAAGACUGGGAUAACUCCGGGAAACCGGGGCUAAUACCGGAUAACAUUUUGAACCGCAUGGUUCGAAAUUGAAAGGCGGCUUCGGCUGUCACUUAUGGAUGGACCCGCGUCGCAUUAGCUAGUUGGUGAGGUAACGGCUCACCAAGGCAACGAUGCGUAGCCGACCUGAGAGGGUGAUCGGCCACACUGGGACUGAGACACGGCCCAGACUCCUACGGGAGGCAGCAGUAGGGAAUCUUCCGCAAUGGACGAAAGUCUGACGGAGCAACGCCGCGUGAGUGAUGAAGGCUUUCGGGUCGUAAAACUCUGUUGUUAGGGAAGAACAAGUGCUAGUUGAAUAAGCUGGCACCUUGACGGUACCUAACCAGAAAGCCACGGCUAACUACGUGCCAGCAGCCGCGGUAAUACGUAGGUGGCAAGCGUUAUCCGGAAUUAUUGGGCGUAAAGCGCGCGCAGGUGGUUUCUUAAGUCUGAUGUGAAAGCCCACGGCUCAACCGUGGAGGGUCAUUGGAAACUGGGAGACUUGAGUGCAGAAGAGGAAAGUGGAAUUCCAUGUGUAGCGGUGAAAUGCGUAGAGAUAUGGAGGAACACCAGUGGCGAAGGCGACUUUCUGGUCUGUAACUGACACUGAGGCGCGAAAG
rnacentral:rRNA from 1 species